GAUGAACGCUGGCGGCGUGCCUAAUACAUGCAAGUCGAGCGAACGGACGAGAAGCUUGCUUCUCUGAUGUUAGCGGCGGACGGGUGAGUAACACGUGGAUAACCUACCUAUAAGACUGGGACAACUUCGGGAAACCGUAGCUAAUACCGGAUAAUAUUUUGAACCGCAUGGUUCAAAAGUGAAAGACGGUCUUGCUGUCACUUAUAGAUGGAUCCGCGCUGCAUUAGCUAGUUGGUAAGGUAACGGCUUACCAAGGCAACGAUGCAUAGCCGACCUGAGAGGGGGAUCGGCCACACUGGAACUGAGACACGGUCCAGACUCCUACGGGAGGCAGCAGUAGGGAAUCUUCCGCAAUGGGCGAAAGCCUGACGGAGCAACGCCGCGUGAGUGAUGAAGGUCUUCGGAUCGUAAAACUCUGUUAUUAGGGAAGAACAUAUGUGUAAGUAACUGUGCACAUCUUGACGGUACCUAAUCAGAAAGCCACGGCUAACUACGUG
rnacentral:rRNA from 1 species